AGGAAUGUGGUGUCAAUGGUAGCAUGCAGAUCUCCAAAGUCUCGCGGAGCUUGUUCGAAUCAAGCCAUUCCUG
rfam:Rhodotorula graminis WP1 unplaced genomic scaffold RHOBAscaffold_12, whole genome shotgun sequence.